GACGAACGCUGGCGGCGUGCCUAAUACAUGCAAGUAGAACGCUGAAGGAGGAGCUUGCUUCUCUGGAUGAGUUGCGAACGGGUGAGUAACGCGUAGGUAACCUGCCUGGUAGCGGGGGAUAACUAUUGGAAACGAUAGCUAAUACCGCAUAAUAGUAGAUGUUGCAUGACAUUUGCUUAAAAGGUGCAAUUGCAUCACUACCAGAUGGACCUGCGUUGUAUUAGCUAGUUGGUGGGGUAACGGCUCACCAAGGCGACGAUACAUAGCCGACCUGAGAAGGUGAUCGGCCACACUGGGACUGAGACACGGCCCAGACUCCUACGGGAGGCAGCAGGAGGGAAUCUUCGGCAAUGGACGGAAGUCUGACCGAGCAACGCCGCGUGAGUGAAGAAGGUUUUCGGAUCGUAAAGCUCUGUUGUAAGAGAAGAACGAGUGUGAGAGUGGAAAGUUCACACUGUGACGGUAUCUUAAGAGAAAGGGACGGCUAACUACGUG
rnacentral:rRNA from 1 species